AAGGCGCGGCGGCCAUCUUGGAAAGUGCGUUUUUCCGGUUUGCAUGCAGUGAGUGCAUGGGAUUUGCCAUGCCGGAGGUGCAAUAUGUAAGAUAAUUGCUGGAAAUUCUUCAUUCUGCGCGUUGUAGUGGAUUUUUACAGUAUUGAUGGUGGUCAUCAAUCAACUUGGAAGCGGAUAACACGAACCAAGUAGGGCAUAAAGAGAAUAAAGUUGUGAAAAUCAGGUGAAGGUGUGAAGUAAAUCAAGUCAUUAAUCUGGUUACAGCGAAUUUGUGAGGUGUUUACAGUUCCUUCGUUUCGAAUCAACCAGCUCUUCCAACACAAAGCAGAAGGCACUUUCAUUCAUUCAGUUCGUUUAUUUUAUUGUUAAAUUUGUGAUGCAAUAAAAAUUGGUAAAAAGGA